GGGUUGCGGGCUGGGAGGACUCGGUCCUCCACUGUCCCAGCCGGCCACGCGCCCGCGUGUAGCCUCACGUCCCGCUAGCAGCACGCUGCGUGGCUGCUCGUUGGCUGCUUAAGACGGAAGCUCGGUUGAUGUUUCUGCAGAAGUUUCCCCCUUGGGCGGUGGCGGAGCUGCUGAGCGCGAUAGUAGCAGCUCUGGCGGCAGCAACAUUGACUACUAGGAAUGGCGGCGGCGGCCGCAGGACCUGCAGCAUCCCAGAGGAGCUGACUAAGGCUUUGGAACAGAAACCAGAUGAUGCACAAUAUUAUUGUCAAAGAGCUUAUUGUCACAUUCUUCUUGGGAAUGACUGUGGUAGUUUUUCUUAUAAAGUAUAUUGUCCCUUUUUAAUAAGUUACUUAUACAUUUUACCCAUGACCAAUUAAUCAAAUAAAAUAAAGAUUGUCUUUGAGGAUUUUUAAAUUGGUCUUUCAUACAAGGUAAAGUAGCUCAAGUGUGACAGGCAUGUUGAACAACACCUAUUUAAAUUUUAUGGAUGUCUCUUUUUCCUCAGUGGGUGGAUAAUGUAUAUAGAUUUCAUUCAUAGUUAUUGGGAGGCUGAUAAAGAAUUAGUAUCAUAUUUACUAUUUGACAGAGUAUUAAAAUGAAAUGCUCUUCUUUGUAUUUUUUUUUAUAAAAAAGAAUGUGGCCAGGCAUGGUGGCUCACUCCUAUAAUCCCAGCACUUUGGGAGGCCAAAGCAGGAGGAUCAUAUGAACCCAGGAGUUUGAGUCCAGCCUGGACAACAGAGCAAGACCCUAUCUAUACUAAAAAAAAAAAAAUGUAUUUCUGUAUUGUGUAACUUUAAAAUUUAUUCUGAUGAAGAAUCUGGAUAGGGAAAAACUGAAGAUCUUUUUUUUUUUUUAGAUGAAUUUUUACUCUUGUUGCCUAGGCUGGAGUGCAGUGGCAUGAUCUCAGCUCACUGCACCCUCUGCCUCCCAGGUUCAAGCGAUUCUCCUGCCUCAGCCUCCCAGGUAGCUGGGACUACAAGCACAUGCCACCAUGCCCAGCUAAUUCUGUAUUUUUAGCAGAGACGGGGUUUCACCAUGUUGGCCAGGCUGGUCUCAAACUCCUGACCACAGGUGAUCUGCCCACCUUGGCCUCCCAGAGUGCUGGGAUUACAGGUGUGAGCCACUGCACCUGGCCAAAUUACAUAGAUGAUGCUAAUGAGAAAAGGAGAUGAAUUUUGUGACACAAUUGUAUUCAUUGACUGAAGAGCUUUAGGAAGGAAGCUAAAUGUUCAGCCAAAAGGAAGGUACAAGAGUAAUAUUUAUUUGAAUUCUGUCUUGGAUUAGCUUUUCCAAAUUUAAAACCAUCUGGCGUUUCUACCAACUUGAAAACUUAGAAAUCUAAAACUGAUCCAUAUUCUGUUUGUAUUUGCUAGAAUCUGUAAAUAACUGAUGAAAAACCCAUCUUUUUCUUUCUUUCUUUCUUUCUUUUUUUUGAGAUGGAGUCUUGCUCUGUCACCCAGACUGGAGUGCAGUGGUGCAAUCUUGGCUCACUGCAACCUCCGCCUCCCAGGUUCAAGUAAUUCUCCUGCCUCAGCCUCCUGAGUAGCUGGAACUACAGGCGCGUGCCACCAUGCCCGGCUAAUUUUUUGUAUUUUUUUUUUUAGUAGAGACGGGGUUUCACCAUGUUAGCCAGGCUAGUCUCGAUCUGCUGACCUCGUGAUCCACCUGCCUUGGCCUCCCAAAGUGCUGGGAUUACAGGCAUGAGCCACCAUGCCUGGCCAAAAACCCAUCUUUUUCUACAUAGUUGCUGUUGCUGAUGUAAAGAAGUCUCGCGAACUCAAUCCAAAUAAUUCCACUGCUGUGCUGAGAAAAGGGUAUGCAAUAGCUACUCUUUUUGUUGAGCUUGGACUGUAAAUAGUAGAUGUUUAAUUUGUUGAAUGAGUUCAUUGUAAGCUUUAUUAGUAAAAUUGUUUAUACAUUUUAUAGCAGAGAUAUGAUUCAAUUUUAAAUAUAAAGCUAUAGUUCUAUUAUUUUGUUAACCAUAGUAUGUGAUAGGAGAUCUAUAUUUAAUAUAUUUUAAAAUAGCGAUGAUUGAAAUAACUGCAGGGUAUAGAUGAAACUGAUGCAUUUCACAUUCCUUUUUUGUUUAUCAUUUGGAAUUUACUCUAUUUAACUGACUGGUGAACAUCCUAUUAUUCAACCAAGCUGAAUAGGCUACAUUUAAUGCUAUGAAAGCUCUGUAUCUAUGUGCUUUAUAUCCCAUCUUGUUUCUGUUGGUAAGUGUAACUUUAUUCUUUAAGUAAGAAACUGCUUUAAUUCCUUUGUAUAAUUAUAUUUUGGAAUAAGCAAGUAUGUGUAAUUAAAGUGAAAUUCCUUCUGAAGUAAGUUCUAAAAUUGAAUUUUACUGGAAAUUGUACUAGAUGUUAACAGUAUUUUAGAAAGUCUCUUGGCUUACUAACAUAUACUUAAAAUAAAUUUUUUCUUUCAACAAUAGAAAAUACUAAAUGUUUUUAUUUAGAAAGAAGGCUAUUUUCCAGAUCUUGUGUGUGUGUUAAUUUGUUUUAAAUAUGUUCAUGCAGGAUAUGUGAAUACCAUUAAAAAAAACUAUGCUGCUUCUCUAGAAACUUUUAUAGAAGGACAAAAAUUAGAUAGUAAGAAUUAAAUUGUAGUUUUAUAAACUUAUCCAUUUCUGUCUGAAAUACCAAAGCUGAAUUUUGUUAAUGUUCAUAUCAAGUUAAUUACAGAAACCCAAUACCUAUUUUUCUCAUCUUAAUUACACUUCAUAUUGGUUGCAGAUAUGGGAUCACUUAAAAUUGGUUAAAUCAGCCUUUUAGCAUUUAAACCACAGAUAAACUUACCAUUAGAAGUAAAAAGCCAUAUGGAAACACUUAACAUGCUCUCUCUAUUUAGUCUGGCUUUGUUGUUUUCUAAUGGAGAAAUGAAAAUUUAAUUUGCUUUCUUGGUCAGAAGUCUGUUCAUUUUAAGUUAUUCAGAAUGCUGAGAUGGGAAAUCUUAACACUUAUAGAGAAGUGAAGUGUAUAGUUUGAUAAAUUAUGAGAGGGUACAGAAGAAACAGAGUUUUGAGAGUAUUGUGAGUUUUUAAUGUUAUAUUUUUUAGGGGAAUAUAUGAAGAUUAUCACAGCAGUGUAGAUAUCUAGACAUAUAUAGAAAUUGUGAGAGCAAGAAUUUUAAAAUUGGAAGAAUACUAAGAUAGAGGUUGUGAGUAAUCCCAGAAAAUUGUAGACUACAUAAUCCUAUUUGUACUAUUAUUUUAUCUUUAUGUUAUGAUAGAAUUUUAUCACAAUUCUCUAAAGCAGUGGUUCUUAACUGGAAACAAUUUCGUUUCCCAGGAAACUUUAGGCAAUGUUUGAAGAGAUUUUUGGUUAUCAUGAAUGUUGGAUAGGGGUGAGCUACUGACAUGUAAUGAAUAUAAACCAGGGGUGCUACUAAAUAUCCUAUAAUGCCCAGGACAGUCCUGCCCAACAGAGAAGUAUCUAGUUCAAAAUGUCAGUAGUGCUGAGUUAAGAAACUCUGCUCUUACAUAUUAUAUGUUAAAUUCUUACUCUGUACUGCUUUAAAGGUUUGCUUUUCUGCUGUAUACCUGUAUACCUGUUCAAAAAAGGAUUUUAGGCCUCAUUACACAAAUGGAAGCUACAAAUUAGGAAAGGAAAGGUCUGGGUGAUAGGACUUAUUCUCAAAUUUGCUUAUCCCAGUUUCAGUUUUGGCAUGUGAAUAAUAGGGCUAUUCAGUCAGCAAGACAGCAUAUCUACACUCUUAGCAAAUUCUAGAGUCAGGUUAUCUAGUGCCUUGAUACAUAUUUGAAAACCCUGAAAAAACAUGAGUCAUGCCAUUCUCUACAUUUUCUUUUUUCUUUUUCUUUUUUUUGAGACAAGGUGUCACUCUUGCCCAGGCUGGAGUACAAUAGUGCGAACUUGGGUCAUUGCAACCUCCUCCUCCUGGGUUCAGGUGAUCCACCCACCCCAGCCUCCCAAGUUACUGGGGCUACAGGCACGUGCCACUGACUAAUUUUUGCUUUUUUUUUUUUUUUUUUUGCAGAGACAGGGUUUUGCCAUGUUGCAAAGCCUGAUCUUGAACUCCUGGGCUCAAGCGAUCUGCCUGCCUCGGCCUCCCAAAGUGUUGGAGUUACAGGCGUGAGCCAUUGUGCCUGGCCUCAUCCUCUGCAUUUCUAGGCCCUACUACUUUUAAGAGCAAUAGAAAGGUUUCUUGCCUAAAUUCCUUUCUUUUUUUCUUUUUUUGGGGGGCUGGGGGCACAGAGUCUUGCUCUGUCACCCAGGCUUGAGUGCAAUGGCACCAUCAUAGUUCACUGCAGCCUUGAAUUCCAGGGCUCAAGCCAUCCUUCUGCCUCUGCCUCCUGAGUAGCUGGGACUACAGGCAUGUGUCACCACACUGAGCUAAUUCGUUAAAUAUUUUUUUGUAGAGAUGAGGUCUUGCUACAUUACCCAGACUGGUCUCUGAACUCCUGGCCUCAAGUGAUCCUACUGCCUUGCCCUCCCAAAAUGCUGGCAUUACAGACAUGAGCCACUGCACCUGGCCCCUAAAUGCUUUUCUUGAAUGAAUAAUUUCUCUCUCUCUCUCUCUCUCCCUCUCCCUCUCCUCUCUCUCUCUCUCUCUCUCCCUCUCCCUCUCUCUCCUCUCUCUCUCUCUCUCCUCUCUCUCUCCUCUCUCUCUCUCUCUCCCUCUCUCUCCUUCCUUCCUUGCUUGCCUUUCUCUUUCUUUUUUCUUUAUUUCUUUCCACGGAGUCGCGAUCUCAGCUCACUGCAACCUCUGCCUCCUGGGUUCAAGUGAUUCUCCUGCCUCACCCUCCCAAGUACCUGGGAUUACAGGCGGACGCCACCACACCCGGCUAAUUUUUUAUAUCUUUAGUAGAGACAGGGUUUCGCCACGUUGGCCAGGCUGGUCUUGAACUCCUGACCUCGUGAUCCGCCCGCCUCAGCCUCCCAAAGUGCUGAGAUUACAGACAUGAGCCACUGUGCCCACCCGAAUAAUAUCUUAAUAUCAUGCCAUUGACAUUUAUUCUCUAAUUAUUUCAGAGGUGGCCUUCAGAAGAAGGCCUCCUUGGUAAAAUUGCUAUUAAGGAUAUUUCACUGAAAAACAAAUUUAUCUAUAAAUUUAAAUCCAGGAAAAAUUUAAGUUAAACUUUUAUGCUUCUAUUUUUAUCAGACAGGGUAAAACAUUUAUAACUCAGAAUAUUACCUUUUCCCCUCUCUGUGUGAUAGAUUGCUUGGUUUUAGUUACUGAUUAUUUAAAAUAAUAAGUUAUUCAAAGCUAGGAUUUUGAUGUAAUAGUUCUUCUCUAGAAUAUGGUGUGUGUGAGAGUGUAUUUACAUUUUUUAUUAAGGCCCAUGUAGUUGUAUUUCUUUUAUAAAUUAGUAAAUUAGAAAAUUUUGUUUUAAGAAAUUUUUAAUUUAAAAUUUCCAGAUUGCUCUUGCCUGCAGUUACGUAUUUUACUAUGCACUGUGUUUAAAUGUAGUCAUUGUUCUGUGU